CCCUUAGAUGUUCUGGGCUGCACGCGUGCUACAAUGAUACUAUCAACAAGUAUUUCAUUUUUUCAACUAUUAUGCUAAUCAAUAAAUAGUAUCGUACUUGGGAUAGAUUUCUGUAAUUAUUCCUCUUCAACCAGGAAUUCCUAGUAAGUGCAAGUCACCAACUUGCGCUGAUUACGUCCCUGCCCUUUGUACACACCGCCCGUCGCUUCUACCGAUUGAGUGUUCCGGUGAAUUAUAUUCAAUAUUGUAAACCUUAACACUUAGAGGAAGGAGAAGUCGUAACA
rnacentral:rRNA from 1 species